rnacentral:lncRNA from 1 species
GCCCUUGCCGUUGCGGUCCCUCGGUGGCCGCUGGCGGUUGGGAGAUGUUUAUUCGGCACGAGAAGAUCUAGGUUCGGUCGUAGGGCGUUUCGGAUCGAUAGCUGCACUUUUCUUAUGUUGCAUCGUUUAGGAAAUACGAGAAUUACUUAAGACUAGGGAAGUCCACUAGCACUGGUGCUCAUCAUUUGGAAUUUGGGUGGACGACCAAUUGGAAAAUGCCAUCUCUGAGAUGGGACACGCGAGAGAAAAGCGACAAGAACGUG